CGUAGGUGAACCUGCGGAAGGAUCAUUAUUGAAAUAAACCUGAUGGGUUGUUGCUGGUUCUCUAGGGAGCAUGUGCACACCUUGUCAUCUUUAUAUCUCCACCUGUGCACUUUUUGUAGGCCUUUUUAGGUCUAUGUUGCUUCACUUGCCCCAAUGUAUGUCUAUAGAAUGUUGUGCCUAUAUAAUAUAUACAACUUUCAGCAACGGAUCUCUUGGCUCUCGCAUCGAUGAAGAACGCAGCGAAAUGCGAUAAGUAAUGUGAAUUGCAGAAUUCAGUGAAUCAUCGAAUCUUUGAACGCACCUUGCGCUCCUUGGUAUUCCGAGGAGCAUGCCUGUUUGAGUGUCAUUAAUAUAUAUAUAUCAAACUUCUCUUGUUGAGUUGUUUGGAUGUGGGGGUUUGCUGGCCUCUUAAAGGGGUUCAGCUCUCCUGAAAUGCAUUAGCGGAACAGCCUUGUUCAUUGGUGUGAUAACUAUCUACGCUGUUGAAUGUGAAAGGGCAGUUCAGCUUUCUAACAGUCCUUGGA
rnacentral:rRNA from 1 species